rnacentral:rRNA from 1 species
UGAAGAAAAGUUGAAAAGUACUUUGAAGAGUUAAYGAGUACGUGAAACCGUUCAGAGGUAAACCUAAGAAACCCAAAAAAUCGAACGGGGAGAUUCAUCGUCAACGAAACUGGCUUCGCGUCGGUGGGCGAUAACCCCGCGGUGUGUCCUAAGCGGCACGCGCGUGCGGGCACGNUACCGAACGCCGAUGUCCGGUUUUCGUCGUCGUGCACUUCUCUCCUAGUAGAACGUCGCGACUCGCUGUGUGUCGGUCACCGACCNGGGUGCGGUNACUGUCACGUCGCCCGUAAAANCGGCGCGCGGCAAA